rnacentral:lncRNA from 1 species
UUUCUUGUUUCCCCAUGGCGAGAAAUUCAUACUGCCUUUGUAAUAACUGCAAUCUAAUCUUCUUGACCUUUCCAUAAUUGUCAUAGCCGUCUUGCAAGAUUUCCCAAAUCUCCUUCGUUGUAGUAGCCUUUGAAACUUUCUGAAAAAUUGUCGUAGAUAUGCACUGGUGCAGUAGCAUUCGUGCUUUGCAAUCCAAUUUCCUGUUUUCCUUG